GACGAACGCUGGCGGCGUGCUUAACACAUGCAAGUCGAACGGUAAGGCCCUUCGGGGUACACGAGUGGCGAACGGGUGAGUAACACGUGGGUGAUCUGCCCUGCACUUCGGGAUAAGCCUGGGAAACUGGGUCUAAUACCGGAUAGGACUCCGGACUGCAUGGUCUGGGGUGGAAAGCUUUUGCGGUGUGGGAUGGGCCCGCGGCCUAUCGGCUUGUUGGUGGGGUGAUGGCCUACCAAGGCGACGACGGGUAGCCGGCCUGAGGGGGUGACCGGCCACACUGGGACGGAGAUACGGCCCAGACGCCGACGGGAGGCAGCAGUAGGGAAUAUUGCACAAUGGGCGCAAGCCUGAUGCAGCGACGCCGCGUGAGGGAUGACGGCCUUCGGGUUGUAAACCUCUUUCAGCACCGACGGAGCGCAAGUGACGGUAGGUGCAGAAGAAGGACCGGCCAACUACGUGCCAGCCGCCGCCGUAA
rnacentral:rRNA from 1 species